rnacentral:rRNA from 1 species
UAAUGUUUAAGUACACGUGGAUAACCUAACCUUAGGACUGGAAUAACCCCGGGAAACUGGGGACAAUGCCAGAUAUGUGGGGCUGCCUGGAAUGGUACCUCAUUGAAAUGCUCCGGCGCCUAAGGAUGGAUCUGCGGCAGAUUAGGUAGUUGGCGGGGUAAAUGCCCACCAAGCCAGUAAUCUGUACGGGUUGUGAGAGCAAGAGCCCGGAGAUGGAACCUGAGACAAGGUUCCAGGCCCUACGGGGCACAGCAGGCGCGAAACCUCCGCAAUGCGAGCAAUCGCGACGGGGGAAACCCAAGUACCACUCUUAACGGGGUGGUUUUUCUGAAGUGUAAAAAGCUUCAGGAAUAAGAGCUGGGCAAGACCGGUGCCAGCAGCCGCGGUAAAUACAA